UAUUAUUUAUUAUUGUCUUGCCUACGUUAAAUUCGUCCGUUGGUUUUCUCCGUAGCCUUCAUCAUGUGACGACUCUGAAAUAUAUCAAUACGAAUAAAUAAUAAAAACAACAACAACAGCUAUAAUAGUUAUGCUAUAACAACACCGUCGUACAGACUCGCCAUGACGGUAUAAUAAUCUGAUGUACUAUCAACCAAUUCUUCAAGGUGUAAUACAACGUCAUAACACGGCUCCUAAAGCAGCAUCUCCACAAAAUUAUCCUCCAGGACAUGAAGUACUAGGAUCUUUGGUUUAUGUUGCAAUAAGACAGCCCAACUUACCUGUGCCUUUAAAUCAUUCUGAAGAUAGACACAGAGAACAACAUCGUUAUGUAAGAGGUUCUCCAGUACCAAAUCACAUAUGUACAGAGAACAACAAAGACACGAGCAUAGGCAAAGGGAACGUGAAAUAGCUGUGCAAAGAGCACAAAGCAGUUGCACAAAUUAGAGAACAGCAGCAAAGAGAUCAGUAUAUUAGAGAUAAGCAAAUCAUUGGCUUACUCCUGAACAACAUUCAAGAAUGGUCACUGCUUUGUUUCAGCACUAGCAAGAACAACCAAGAGUAAUGCAAAUACCUUCUACUGUCUCUUCAUUUCAACAAUCAAGAUCAAAUACUCCAGAAUCUAGGCAUCAAGAAUCAUCAUCCAAUAUACAAAAUAUAGAUAAUACUGGUAGUGGUAGAGUUUCAAGACAAGGAAUAUAACCUAACUGCAGCUAAUUUAACUGAUGCCAUUAUCACACAUAAAAUAAAUAAGAGUAAUUAUGGAACUGGACAUCCUCCUAAUGCUGUUCCAGUCACCAAUCAGGCACAUGUUCAACAGCAACGAGCUGGUGAUAAGUUAUUUCAAGCAUUCCCAGAAGCAAAUGAAAAACAAAAUUUUAAACCACGAGCCACUCCUGAAAUGAGUUGUCCAGGAGAACCAUAUUCAACAGAACAUCCUUUUAAAUAAUAUCCCUUCAAUAAUAUGUUAGCUGCAGGUUUUAAGCCUCAUUCUUGAAGCUUCGCCGUGCUUUACAACAGAAAGAAUUUGAACAACAAAUAAAAGAUGACAACAGUUGAGUUCGCUUUUAUCCAACUUCAGACGAUGACAACAAAAAUGAACAGUUUACACUCAUCCAUUUUCAGCUGCAAUCAAUAAGUCCACAUCGGCUCAGAGCCGGCGCUAGGGGAGGACAAAUGGGACAUAUGUCCAGGGCCCCGCAAUUUUUAAUUAUCAUCUUAAUACCGUGAAACACAUUGACAAAUUAUAAAUCUAUAAAUUUAUUAUUAUAUUCUACACAUGUAUAAUAUUCAUAUUAUUCCUAUCAUCAGUUGUUUGGAAAACGAUAGCUAAAUUUAGCCAUAGUACAAAGUAAAUCGUUAUCGAUACGACGAAGGAAUAAUAUUUGAACGAUACUCGCCGAGUAGGAUUGUAGGUAUAGGUAAUACUAUAAUUAAUAAUAUAAAUAUUUAUUAUCUCUAUAGUUAUUGUUUUCUCUGUUCUUUAUUUGGAAAGGCUUAACGCGCAUUGCCGUAUGCCCGUAUUAUAGAAGGGGCAAGAGCUAUAUUCUUAAAAUAUUUAUUUGAUUAUCUAGUAUUAUAUUUUUGACAUUUGAGUAUUUGACUGCAAUCUGCUUUGCACCUUGCAGUAUUUUUUCAACAAUUUCUGCGUAGUAUCAUUAAAGUAAGUUUUCAUUUUAUGAAAUUAUUAUUACAAUUUAGUUUAUAGUA